UACGGCGGGUGCAAGCGUUGUUCGGAAUUAUUCGGCGUCAAGCGCGUGUAGGCGGCUUCUUAAGUCUGGUGUGAAAGCCCGGGGCUCAACCCCGGAAGUGCACUGGAUACUGGGAAGCUAGAGGACGAGAGAGGAGAGCGGAAUUCCUGGUGUAGGGGUGAAAUCCGUAGAUAUCAGGAGGAACAUCGGAGGCGAAGGCGGCUCUCUGGCUCGUAUCUGACGCUGAGGCGCGAAUGCGUGGGGAGCAAACAGG
rnacentral:rRNA from 1 species